GAUGUUAACCUCUACCUGUUUCACACAGGUGUGACGGAGAGCGCCAGUGUAUCGUCAAGGUAUCCAACUCCGUGUUCGGCGACCCCUGUGUCGGAACCUAUAAGUACUUGGAUGUGGCUUACACCUGUUACUGAAUGAUAUCUUCCUGGGGAACCUGAAGAUGUACAAGGCUUCUGGGACAUUUUCAUCGGGUCGUGCUGUGUUCCUCCAACUGCCAAAUCGACUUCAGUGACCAUUGUAAACCUGUGCAUUUUGUGCUGAAACAUUUCUUAAACAAUUUCUGAACUGUGGUUGUUGGUCUGAAUUAAAUGARGUGGCUGGAAGACGAUA